AACUGCAGAAUCUAGUGACCUGAUCACAGUGUCAGAAUCGAAGGACUUUCAGAUGAUCAAGAUGAAAAACUUCCUGAUUUCUUACUUUCCUCAGAUUGCCACCUACGCUACGAUCAUUGUGAUUUUCACACAAAAUGUUUUGUUUGAUAGAGAAGUGGUCUGUACCUGCCAGGAUCAGGGAGGUCACUGCAAUGUAUACAUCAGUAUGCCGAUUUUUAUAAUAUUCCUUUUGUUACUUUGGAAUGACAAGGACGUCAAUGGUGCCUGGAGGGCGUGCUGCUGUAUGAAGAAAAGGAAGAUAUGUAAGAAAAUCUGCUAUCUUGUUGUUCAGAUAGUAAAGGCUUCUGUGAUCAGUCUGCUGUGGGUCGUCUCUGUAUUAUUUGAUGGAGAUUGGUACGCUUGCUGUCAGAACCACCUGCCUAAAGAACAGGCUCAGAUUCCUUGCAAGACAAACAGAACCAUAGAGGAACAAGCCAUCGUUGAUAAUCUGAAAAAUAAGUCAAAGAUUAAUGGCCUGUAUGUACUGCUGGGCCUCCUCCUCCUGGUUUUCUGCUUCUCUUUACUAAAGUGGUGUGACUACUGGAGGAAAUGUUACAUGGAUGGAGAUGGACUUUAUGAGCUGAUCAUAAUAAAAGAAGAAGAAAAUAUUGUGAAUCAGGUUUUGAAAGAAAAAGCCGAAGAAACUCUGAGAAAAAAGGUUAAUGAAAUACUGGAUAGGAACGACAGGAACGAAUAUAUGGACGGCUAUGAACCUGCUCAAGAAGUGAUCGAUCAACUCUGGCCAGAAGAAAAUCAGGUGGGACUUUCACAGAACUAGAGCCAGAGGAGGAACAGCAGUUCAUAAACCCUCAGCAACAUGUUAAACUUUGGGUUUUUUUUGUUUUCCUGACACCAGAAAUCAAUUUAAAUCUGUAAAAUAUGGGAAUGUUGUGGUGGUGCAGAGGGUAAACACAGCCCAUAUAUGGAGGCUUUAGUCCUCAACGUGGCCAUCACAGGUUCGAUUCCCGGCCUGGUGGCCUUUACCGCAUGUCUUCUCCUUCUCUCAUUACCUUCUUUCCUGUCAAUUCACUAUCAAAUAAAGGCCAUUAGAGCCAAUAACAUAAAAAAUCAGUAAAAUAAAUAAUUUUUAGUGUAAAAACAUUAAUUUCCAGGGUCAGACUGGAUGUGAUCUGAAAACAGAUUUCUAAAACAUUAAUAAUAUUUCACAUUUAGGUACCACAGCUGAUGGUUUAUAUGUUUUAUUUUAUAUUAAUAUAAUAUAUAUUCUUUAAUUUCUUUAAGUUUGCUGGCAGCAUAUUAGGCCAGAUAUAAAGUUAAAACCAGAUAAAAGACAUUAAAUCAAAUGAAACUUUUCCUGUUUUGGAUAAAUUAGGAUUAUUAAAAUCAUUUAUAUUUGUUAAAUACUUGAAUAAUGAAAGAAAUGAUUUUUCCUCUGUCUUUUAAAGCAGCUCUUUAGUUGAUGUUAACUGUCGGGAUGAUGUCAGGGUGACCUUUGACCUCCAGGUUAUUGAAGAGUUUACAAAUAAUUCUGCAGCAACUGGAGCUUUUAAAGACUUACUUAGAUAAUUUUUUAUGGAGAUACUGGAUGGAGUGGCUCGACCAUUUGACCCUGUGACCCUUUGACCUCAGGCUGUGUUUCCACAGGUUGAAGAAAGGUUUGACCUGCUGCAGGACGCGCAGAGGGACACAGAUCUGUCCUCACAUGGACAGCUCUGUGUCCCUCAUUGCUUUGGUUAUAGAAAUGAUUUCAGAAAUUCAGGGAAAGUUUCGUCUGAUUUAAUGAAAUUAUAAUGAUUUCUAUCUGGUUUAUCUGUAAAUUCUUGCUUGGUGUUGAUUAUGGCUUUAUUAGGGAAACAUAUCAAUAUUACGAACAUUUAUUCUAAAUAUUAUGAAUAUUCAGUAAAGUUUUAAUUCAGUUUGUUAAACUGUUCAUUACAGGAUUUAUUGUGAUCUGAAUACAGUUGCAGAGUUUUGUUGUAUUUUUUACUUUUAUAAACAUGAAUCAUUUACAGUAAAGUUUAAUCUUUAAUGUUUGCUUGUUGAUUCUGAUUAAUAAAGAAUAAA